rnacentral:rRNA from 1 species
CUGAAGAGAGGAGCUUGCUCUUCUUGGAUGAGUUGCGAACGGGUGAGUAACGCGUAGGUAACCUGCCUUGUAGCGGGGGAUAACUAUUGGAAACGAUAGCUAAUACCGCAUAACAAUGGAUGACCCAUGUCAUUUAUUUGAAAGGGGCAAAUGCUCCACUACAAGAUGGACCUGCGUUGUAUUAGCUAGUAGGUGAGGUAACGGCUCACCUAGGCGACGAUACAUAGCCGACCUGAGAGGGUGAUCGGCCACACUGGGACUGAGACACGGCCCAGACUCCUACGGGAGGCAGCAGUAGGGAAUCUUCGGCAAUGGGGGCAACCCUGACCGAGCAACGCCGCGUGAGUGAAGAAGGUUUUCGGAUCGUAAAGCUCUGUUGUAAGUCAAGAACGAGUGUGAGAGUGGAAAGUUCACACUGUGACGGUAGCUUACCAGAAAGGGACGGCUAACUACGUGCCAGCAGCCGCGGUAAUACGUAGGUCCCGAGCGUUGUCCGGAUUUAUUGGGCGUAAAGCGAGCGCAGGCGGUUUGAUAAGUCUGAAGUUAAAGGCUGUGGCUCAACCAUAGUUCGCUCUGGAAACUGUCAAACUUGAGUGCAGAAGGGGAGAGUGGAAUUCCAUGUGUAGCGGUGAAAUGCGUAGAUAUAUGGAGGAACACCGGUGGCGAAAGUGGCUCUCUGGUCUGUAACUGACGCUGAGGCUCGAAAGCGUGGGGAGCGAACAGG